UACGUAGGGGGCAAGCGUUGUCCGGAUUUAUUGGGCGUAAAGAGCGUGUAGGCGGUCAGGUAGGUCCGUUGUGAAAACUCGAGGCUCAACCUCGAGACGCCGAUGGAAACCAUCUGACUAGAGUCCGGAAGAGGAGAGUGGAAUUCCUGGUGUAGCGGUGAAAUGCGCAGAUAUCAGGAAGAACACCCGUGGCUAAGGCGGGUCUCUGGGCCGAUACUGACGCUGAGGAGCGAAAGCGUGGGGAGCAAACAGG
rnacentral:rRNA from 1 species